rnacentral:lncRNA from 1 species
GAAAAGCAUUGUUUCAGUCCAACAACCCAAACUUCCUUAAAAAACUAAGACCAAAACGACGACAUUAGGAAACGGAAAAUCAUGCAACUCAGAAAACCAUUGCUCUAGUCCAAAUGAGGUUCUUCAAUGCCUCAAGCUUUUCUAAACACCAUAGCCUGAACCUUUUCCUUUGCGCCUUCUUUACUUCACCAGAAACGUUCUUAAUGAGCUCUUCUUCAAAUUUGGGACGAGCAGGCAUUAGGCUGUGCACAAUGCUGUAAAUGCUCCUAGCCCUUGCCACACCCUAGGCGCAUACGCGUGCAUGUCCGACCUGAGUUAUCUCAUUACGCGCGCAGUUUGAUCUUCCCGUAUUGACAUCCCUGCUGUCUAUUCUCCUGCGAAUCCUUCUACUGGUGACUUCAUCCGGGUCCAUUUUCUUGCUCCUCAGUGCAUGUUCAUCUGCUUUUCCAUGUUAAUAGAUAUAGGAAUCCUAUGAGAAACAACAUUUGACAAAACAGAACCUAAUAAUAACAACAAAACUUGACUUCAUCCUCAGUGCAUGUUCAUCUGCUUUUCCAUUUCAAAGCAGCUGACGGCAUGAUUCGUACUUGGACUCCAAGAUGUCUAGAUUAUAGGGAAACCAGCCCUCUAUCCAAAACACACAAAGAAGUGUAUUUUCCGUUUAUACCAAUUAAGUGUGUUGAAGCAUGUCCCACAUGGCCACAUCGGAAACUUGUCGAAGCUUAAAUCCUCUUAUAUAGAAAGUUGAACUACUAAUGCCAUGAGGCCUUAAUUUUGUAUAAAACCAUACUUAUUGAAUUGCACACGUGCUUAAGUUAAGGUCAGUAUUGAUGGCAAUUAGUAGUGGGCCGCUGGGCCGUCUUAAAAAAACUGGUACAAAGGGCAAUUUAUAGAAGCAGUGUUGAGAUAAGGGCAAUUCACCUGUUCCUUUUAGAAGGAUAUAUACGAAUGAAGCAAGGUUUAUCUACUCACCCGUAAUGCGGCUCAGCCCUUCAUAAAAAAGUGAAAGAUCAAAAUUACUUUUACAGCAAGAGCAAUACCAGAAGAUGUAAUCUAAAUUAUUUAUAUUUGGUUCCCUUGAAAUCCUUUUGACUGCUUCAACAUACUAUAUGCAAACAGAACCAGAACCAAGUCCAGACUCACUCGUAAGAGGAAGUCCACCGGGGGUGGGAUAGGUCGGCACCCAAUGGAAAAAACAGGCUGAGACUCAGCCAAUCCACUCCAGCCCGUGGAAUCGACUGGCACCCAGCCCAAGCCAGUCCACAGGCCGACCUAAAAUUGACAGACCUUGGGACCGGCUCAAAUGACAACUAGCUGACGCCAGCGUGGUGUCGAGGGCAAGGAGCCACGGAGGCAAGGCAAAGACCAACUUCCCCACCCCCACUAAGCUCCAUCUCGACGCCGUCAACAUCGCCAACAUGAACAAUGCCGCCAAAUUAGCUGCGACGACGAACAUCAGCAACAGCCACAGCAGCACCGUGGAGUCCUCCUCCUUGCCGUCUCCGCGCCCGCUCGACCUCACUCUCAAAACCCCCCUCUUGUCCACCGACAGCGGCUACUUCACUGCUGCGAGCGGCUUCCGCCUGCUUCCCGCUUCCCGGGAAUUAUCCUUCCGCGAAAGAUCCCCCCGCGAAACUUGUAGGUUCGACCACCCCCCCUCCCCCACGAAACAUCCCCAUAUUUUCCUUCCGGACCAAGUUUGUUCCUCUUUUAUGUAAGAAACAAAAUCCCUGCCCAGCUUUAUAAUAAUUAAUUUAUAAUAAAAAAUAAAUAUUUUUAUUAUUUUAUAAUAAAAAUAAUAUUUUAAUAAAAUUGACUAGGCUAUUUUUUGUUAGGGAUAGAGAUGCAUUGGCCUAUUACUAUUCAUUAGAGUCUAUCGGGAAUGGAUAAAUGGGUUGGGUGCUGGCAUAAAGUCCUUAGAGGUGGACUUGCUCUAAUAGGUCUCCUCAUCCACAACAAUAUCCCAGCUUUCCCUUGUCGUGGUUUUCCCAUAUUUGUGCACCUUACUGCAAAGAGAGAGCAAGUUAACUUGUCAAAGAAAAACCAGAACAAUAGAUGCCAAUGCAGUUCAGAAAGCUUAUUUCCCUUCAUACCCAUUUCCAAAGUGCUCCUCCCCACGUCCUUGACCAACCUAGACAUGAGACAACAAAAACAAAGUUACAUCAGAUUAAAUUAUUGAAAGAAAAAGGUUCACUUCUGUUGUAACAAAUUGACAUUAGAAUCAAGCAACCACGCUAUGAAAUACAAAGUUAAAAUGUAACAAUUUACUGUGUCUUAAAGGAAUCUGUGAAAUAAAAUAGUUAAACCCUAAACAACACCACUGCAAAUUAGGGGUGGGCGCGGUUCAGUUUUGAUUGAAACCAAAACCAAAACCGCAAGUUUUUGCGGUUUGGUUCGGUGCGGUUUUGAAGCCAAAACCAAAAUGAAACCAAACCGUUUGGUUCGGUUCGGUGCAAUUUCAAACGGUUUCAGUUUGGUUUUUAAGAAAAAAUGUACGAUUUGCAAUUUAACAUAUUAAAAAGCAUUUCCCAAUAGUAAUAGGAAAAUGACAUUUGUUAUGUAAACAAUUAGCAUGUUGCAUGUAGUUGUGAUGUUAAAACAUGUUUGUGCAACAAAAAGGUGUCCCUUACAAUAUUUUUCAUAAAACAAGUUGAAUAAAUUUGAAUUCAUUAAACGUGAGCGAAAUUUUCAUACUAGAAUAUGUGAUAUCAUGCUUCAAAUGAGUGGCCUUUAGUAGAUCAUUGUUCGACUCUUGAUAACAAGAUUAGUCCACCCUUGUACAUAUAUGUGUGUGUGAUGGUAUAAAAUAACAAAGGUCAUUCAAGUUAAUGAACAAAAGAGAGUGAUGAAUGAUGAUAUUCUAGUGUGGUUGAGUCCAUACUAAGUGUAUGGAUUUUAACAAACGACCAAUUAAAACAUGAAAUCUAAUAUGGACAUUUAAUUAAAUGUUUAUUAAUAUUUGCGGUGCGGUUUUCAAAAGCCAAAACCGAAACCAAACCGUUUUCUAUGUUGCGGUUCGGUUACAAAACCGAAACCGUUUCAAAACCGCAAAACCAAACCGUUCGGUGCGGUUCGAUUUGGUUCGUGUUUCGAUUUCGGUUUUCGGUUCUAAGUGCCCACCCCUACUGCAAAUAGCAUAAGAAAAUUAAAAUUAACCCUAAAGAAAUUGGGAGAGAAGAAUAUGAAAAGGGAAUACCUUUCGGCCCUUUGAGUUAUUGGAAAAAACCCAACAGAGCAAAAGAUAAGCAAAAAUACAGGAGGAAAGAAAAUAAAUUUUCAACUUGUAAGAUUCAUACGCGAACAUAUUGGCGGUCAAAAGCAUUUCGGAACUCAGAGCCAUCAAGCUUUUUGAUCUGCAUGGAAAUUAUUUAUGAAGUUUGAGAUUCUUAUAGACGCUUUAGACACAUCGACAUAUUGAAAAAGCAAUAUUCAACAACCUAGUACCCAUGCUCCAUGAAAGGUUACAGAAAAUAUGAAUGACUGGACUCUGGAGUGAGAAAGUAAAAGGACUUACCGCAUACUUCAUAUCUUCUAAGUUUGUGUAGUCUACAAUCCCUGUUGUGCCUACAAAAAAGGCAUAGGACAAAAGCUAAAUCAAUCGAAAUUCUGAUGUCUCAUGAUCUAGGUCGUAGGAUUAAACUACUGAAAUAACACUAUAUGAAAUAGCAGUGUAUAUCCCAAAAAAAGUCUGAAAUCUGGUUGAUAAUUGAAGAGUUCGAAGGGAUUUACCUUUGGAUUCUUUGGCUUUCAGAUGGAGUUUGCUUAUGUGUGGGGGAGAGAGGUGGAGCGGCUAGAGCUUGAGUAUGGAAGAGAUGAAAAAUGCAGAGAGCACCUGUUUUGGCUGAAGCAACUCACACACUCUGGACAAAUCUGCAAAUGUCUAAAAGGGGGAAAAUAUAAAAAGAAACCUUAACAACUGAAUUCAAAGAAACAUUAUUACAUUGUAAAUAACAUUUCACAAAAAAAAAAAAAAACUAAACUAAACUAAUUACACUCGGAUUGCAAUGCUAUCAUUUAAUAAUAGGAAUUCCCAUAACUUAGCAGAAGACCUGCAUCUGCAAAGGAUUCUUUAAAACCUAUUUUUUUUAACAACCCCGCACCUGCAACACAUCCAGGCAAGGUAAACCAAUAGCACCCUCAUGCUGAGCUCUUCUGUGCAUAUAUACCCCUUAUAAGUAAUCUUAAUCAAUCAGUUAUCAUGAAUAUAGUCAGUUAUCAUGAAUAUACAACUUAUAUUAAUUUUCUACAAUAUCCAACACACAAAUAUAACAGAAGAGGAAACUUUUACUUAAGCAGCACAAAAUGAUAUCCUCUGCAUUUCAUUCCAAAAUCCAUCACUCUUAUGUCUUUGCCUGCACAGUUUUUGCUCCAACAUAGCACACCAUGAUGAUAGCACUAUCAAUAAUUAAGACAUAAAGAAAGGCUAUCCUAGCUAGGUAUUAUCAUUGGAGUAAACCAACAACACCAUAAGUAAAGUAGCAGACCAAAUUUUUUCUAGAAUUGAUGUCUUAACAUGUUUAAGUAGCGAAAAGAUUACAACACAUUGGAUGUGUUAACACAUCCAUAAGCUAAUGACUCCCUCUCCAGUUUACCGCAUCAUUCUUAAUGUAUUCAACAAUGCAGCAGUAAUUAAAAGUCCUUGGAAAAUGCCAAGCUACUACAAUGACAUAACGAAAACUAUAUCUCACCAUACCCCCUUGUUGGCAUAGACAGCAUAUCCGUCCUUGUUCAGGGUGAAUCAUUAUCCUGAACUCAAUUAUCAUCAUCGUCGAGAAUGUCAAACUUUAAAUCAACCAUGCAUGGAACAAAACCUAGAAAUUAAACAAUUAUCAAAGCUUAUGAAGAAUGCUAAACCCAACUAAUUCGAAACAUAAAGUAACCCAAAAGAGAGAAAACUUAUAAAUUUUACAUAAAUUAUAAUCCUUAACAGAAGGAUGGAACAAAGCAUGUUCAUUCUUGAGAAUAGGUGUAAUUUUGCACAUUGCAUAUAUGUACAUUAAGGACGGUGGUAACAUACCUUGUAAUUUGUACAAAUUAGGAUUUUCAUUCAAAGAACCAUAAUAUACACAAUUACAAAAACAGUGAUACAAACUUGUUCUUCUCUUAAGGAAAUUACUCACAGUUGAAAUUCUGAAUGGACAAAGUUUUGGCAUCCCUUUCCGACUAUAUUUGAUUAACCUUUUUUUAAUCCAAUGAGUGCCUUCAUGAGAGAGAGAGAGAGAGAGAGAGAGAGAGAGAGAGAGAGAGAGGAAUAUUCGGUGAAAAGUAUUGCCAAAUCACACAGAGAUCAAAAUCUUGAAUAUAUAUGUUUAACCAUAUCAAAGUGAGUGUGUGAAAGGGUGUAGUCUGCAGAAAGGGCAACAUUUUCACUGCUAGAAAGUUGGAAACUAAACUUUUACACAGAUAUUGGAUUUUAUUAAUUCCCUCCGCGAAUUGAAAAGCAAAUUGUUCGAGUAAUGCAGGUAAAUUCGAUAUACAUAUGCGUUGAUCUAUGUAAGACGGUUAUAAGUUAUAACUGUAUCGUCUUAACACAAAAAAUGAUCAUAAAUGUAAGUGUCUGUAUUAUGGAAGUAAGGGACUUGCAGCAAUUGCUAUGAGCUCUAACAGCAGUCACUCCAAGUACCCUAUUAUGGAAGUAAGGGACUUAGUAAGGGACUUACAUCAAUUGCUAUGAGCUCUACCAGCAGUCUCUCAAAGUGGUGCAAGGGCUAAAAUUAUAAAUAAAAAGUAAUUUAAACAAUUUAACUUAAUAAAAUAUUGUAAUUUAAACAAUGCCUAUAUAUUCAAACAUCCCAAAACAGGAAUGAACUUCCAGAAAACAUGCGCAUGAAAAUAAACGGCAUUACUCACCCAUUGAGUUGGACCAUCAAACUAGAGCGUAAGAAGGAUCAUCAUGUACCUAUGAAACCCAAAGGAAAAUUUUAGCAACCCCAAAGCUUGUAUGCAAGCGUGAAUAAGUAUGCAUGUAUGAAUCUAUUCAUAGUGAAGAAGGCUACCUUAAGAAAUAUUUGCAUCUGCAGCUUCAUAUGGCCAUACAACAAAAAGCACCGCAUAUGAUAACAAACCCCAGCUGCACCACAAAAGGAAUAUGAUCUUCCUCUCAACUUGUAUUUGUAGUUGUUACUGUAACAUCUGCAGACAGCAUACAUAAGCACUGAUUCGAUAAUUCUAAAGGGAAAAAAGUCCUUAUUCGAUAAUGCACCAAAUCCUAUCCAAAAACCAAGUGGGUGCCAUAUCCCUAGAUUAACAGAGCAUCUUUCUUUGUUCCAAAACAAAUUGCAAUUGGCUUUGGUAAAGUAGAAAGAUUACCAGAUACCGACUCUGUUCCAUUAUUCGACUGUCCUUUUAGUUCUGUCUCUCAACAUGGGAAAUACAAUAAGACAGUAAAAACAAAAGUUAGUGAUGCUAUUACAUAGUGAAAGAAAAUAAGACAUUCACAUAUUGAUAGCUAUUUACUGUCCUUUCUCAUCAUAAUCUUGGCCCCUAUAUAUACAUAUAUUGAAUUUUGAAAGCAAUGAGAGAAAUAUACCUUUGGGGCGUCACCGCCAGAAGGGUGAGUGAGGGAUCUAAGAUGUUUAAGAGCAGGAAUUUUUAAGUAAUUUGUGUGAAAAAGUUGAAGAGCUUCGAACAUAGUGGAGUGGGUUGGCCUGGGCUAAAAUAAAGAGGAUGAACUCUAGAAAGUAGAAAAUGUUGUUGUUCAACCAAACUCAAAAGUAAAGAAACCAUAUGAUUAACAUAUAAAUAAGUUUUAUAUACCAAUGUUUACAUGUACGUUGUUUGAGAAGGUAAAUUAGCAACAUAUACAGUGAUCAAAAGAUUAACAGCAAUAAACUGCUCAUUAUUCGAAAUAUACAAGAAAGUUGUCAUUCACAUGAUCCAAAUGGCAGAGGACAAAACAGAAGGAAGCAAAUAUUAUAGCAGCAUAAGUUGAAUAAUUGCAGCAAGUAAACAAAUAGAAAGGCUAGCUAGAUUACACAAUCCAGUUCUAGGUCGGACUAACCAUGUUAGCCAUCCGCCCACCACCAGCACCGUCGGCUUCUUAUUAAAAAUGUAGAAUAGAAGACUAAAAAAUUGGAAAUGAAAGCAGGUAACAUUGAGUUUUAAUAACCAAAAAGGGACACUGUUUAAGCAGCUCCACAACAGCAAUAAUACUUGGAUGAUGACCUGCAAAAACAGAAAAGAAAACACAAAUUAAACUAAAAAAAUAUAAAAUUUAACACUAAUCCAAGGAUUAAAUAUCAAAUAUAAAUUCAUUAGGAUUGGGACCUUUGCAUUGAGGAAUAUCUACUACAUUAUGAGUUCCCUCUUGAUAAAGCCCAAUCAGGGGGUUUUUCGAUGAGCCAAGAACGGCUAACUUUGCGUGACACCGCCAUCCCCACUAACACCAAACCCAGAUAAUAUCAAGAUCAAAACUAACCAAUACCAGAAAGAUUUUUUUAUUUAAAUUUUAAGAAAAGACCUAAACUUUACGAAAUUAAGGGGGAAAACAAAGUUAAGUAAAGCACCAAUUUGCAACUGUCAAAAGUGAAAUAUGAGACUCCAACUGUCUAGAAGAACUCCGUGGCCUCAUCGACGAUGACCGGAUGGUGGAGAUUGAACUGGUGCGUACACCCGAAACACCUGAUUAUACACCGAACAGAGAACAAAAUUUAAAUCAAGUCGAACAAUAAUUAUGAGAAAAUAAACUAAAAGGGAUUUGAGCUGAGAGUUACGAUUCGAAGUGCGGGCAAUGGAGGGUGCAGGUUAGCGGCGGCAGAGAAGGGGUUGAGCUUGGGUUCAGGUCCGUUUUAGGAGGUGGAGGCUCUUGAUAGAAGAUUGGCAUUGGAGUCGUUUUACAAAUCAGUUUCUUCCUGAACAUCCUAAUGUCAGCUUCUAGAGUUUCCUGUAAAAGAACAGACAACAUUCAUAAUAAGAAAAUCUCUCUAUGCAAUCGCAGAAAUCCCUCGGGUUUCAGGAAGCAAAUGGAAAAUGAAAUGCUUUUCUCCCGUAUCUCUCUCUCUCACCUCUGUCCCAUCUCUCUGUCUCCAAAUCGCAGAAAAGAAACCCUAAACAAAUCCCUGAAAUCCCUCGCCUAAAUCCUCCUACAUUUCUCUCGGACAACCCCCUCUUUCUCUUUGCAAACCCUAAACCAAAUCUCCUAAAUCCUAUCUCAGGCACCACACAUACAGCCAAGAAGCCAAGAUAUUAAAGCAAUCUCUAUAUAAUACUUUGGAACAAUGAAGAAAAAUGGUACUUACUUGUUCCUUGUCCAAAACAGUUGGUGCCGCCGCACAUUGUUAUCAAUUGUGGGUUGAUCAAAUCCUUCAUGGCUUAGACUGCAUGAAGAAUUAGAAACUAAAAGAUGAAUAUAUGCCGUAAAUCAUCAUAUAAAUGUAACUGCAUUUAAAAAAAGAAGGGAAUGACAAAAUUGAAUUCUAUUUCAUCAGUAUGUAACUGCAUGAAAAGUUACUUUGAAUGAAGACUCGAUCAAUUUCCCCAAAGUCAUUGUUAACUGAAAAUCAAUAUCAAACCCAUAAAUACCACAUUGAAUUUGACCAAGUUAAAGGAUAAAGGCAGUCGCAUCAUCGUAUUACUCUUUGGGAAGAUCUUCUAAUAAUGGUUCUUCCUUUUUCUUGCUCUUCCUCAGAACUGCCAUAAAAACCCCAGAGAAGCAUACAAAUUCAGAAAAGAAAAGGUUCAAAACUGCCAUAAAAAAAAUCCAGAAAGCAUACAAAUUUAUCAGAAAGAAAAGUUCAAAUUACAAAUACCAAAUGAUGUGAGUGAGUAGUGAGAGGUUGUGUUAGGCACCUGAAACACAUUUUGGUUUCAAUUGAAAGGGCCAGAGACAACAUCCACAUUCUUUUUUCUUGGGUGAACUAACCAAAUCAUAUUAUAUACUAAAAUGACAUAAAAAAUCAUUCACAAACUCACAACAAAAUAGAACAAAAAGAUUCACAAAAGAUUUGGGAGUUGAGACGCUAACAAAAACAUUUCUUUUCUAAACAAAUACACAACCGCUAAUCUGGGUUUGGUCAAUUUAACUAAAACGGUGCGCUAUUUUGCAUCUAAAUAUAGUAUAUCGCUUAAAUAAAAUUAAUAAAAAAUACACAUCCAAAGCUUUUAGUCCAAAGCUAGAAUUAGGAAUAACUGAGGAAGUUAAUGAAGGCAAAGCAGAGGGUAGGAUGCAGAACAUACCAAGAGACCAGUAGGCCAUCGGGGCCGGUCUGCCGAUGAACGCUGUGUACUGGUCGACAACGCCCAACGGAGUCGGCGCAGAAAAAAAGUAAAAGUCGAAACCACCCCCAAUGACUUUGUAGGUGAGAGAAGUCCCUAUGUAGAACACAUUCAUGCCAUUGCUGUUGAGCAGCAGAACGCAGUGCGCGUAAGCCUCGUUGCCCACAUUCCGGAGAUCCAUGUAAACUGGGUGGGACCCGUACAAAUCAGUGUUGAGAUUGAUCGCCGAGAAGUCAGUGGUGAAGAUGAUGUAUGGAUCGUUCGGGUAGAGCUUGAUCCCGUGCGGCUGAGAGUUCUCUUCGAGGCCGUACAAGGAGGAGUCUUUCGGCACUCGGGUGGAUAUCUUGAUGUCUGGUCCUUAAACACCAGUACUAGUCCAAUAAACCACUCCGCUUUUAUUGAUUUUCAAUUCAUGUUCAUUCGGGUCCCAAACAAGACUGAACGGCCCCGGAGCCGGGUUGUAGGUAUCUACAUAUGAUAUAAGUGCCCAGACGUGGCCAGCACUGCGGUUGACACCUAACUUCAUACCCGGUAAAAAUGUGUCUCCAGGAUAAUCACUUCAGCAGAUCGAGGGUGAUUUGAGGUGUUUUCCCGCUGAAUUGGACUUCGACCCAGGUAUGAAAGUUGUUCCUCUUAUCGAGAUCUUCAUUCAUGUAAAAUUUGGGAAUUUUAGAAUUGUUGAAUUCUUCGGCGAGUCAGGGCUACCAGCCGCCACGUGCUUCGGCGCGUGGCCCUUUGGCCGCCGUCCCAUGGCGGCUCGUGCGGUGAUGUAUGCAGGAAAACCUAAGGUUCCUCCUUAGGUUUUUCGAUGUACCAAACCCGAAUCCGCCGUCCUUUUUCCAAAAUUCUAACGUUUUCAUAGAGUUUUAUUAAACGACCUUUAAUUGUGUUUAGGUGCAUCGGUGGAAGUGACCUCAUUCUUGAUGGUUCGAGCGGCUUUCGGGCAAUGGAAAACUUGUGAGUAGACCCCUUCUAAACUUAUAUAUUGUUAUAAAAUAUUAGCCUAGCAUGCAUUCCAUAUUUCAUGAUUUGAAUAUGAUUUAUAAUAUGCUUUAUGGACUUUUAAUUAUGGUUUACGAAAUAGUUUGAUUUAUCGAAAUUACGUUUUAUUAGGUAUUGAAUUAUUGGAUUUGCAUAUAUGGAUUUCUAUGGUUUUCAAAUACGAUUUAUAUUACGGUUUUACGAACAUGAAUUAUUUUAUGGAUUUCAUGAAUACAAUUUAUCUUGGAUUUAUGAGAUGAGACUUUGAGCUAGUGAGCUCCGGGUUUGAUAUGAGUUUUGAGAUAUGUUUUUGGUACUUAUCUAGUGGGUUAUCAUACAGCACAUCCGCACACCACGGGUAUAGAUGUGUAUGGCCAUAGGACACAGAUGAUGAGGAGGAGUAAGAUAUGAUAUAUUAUAUACCCCCAGUUCACUAUCGAAAGCAGUGUCAGAUAACCUCACUAGCCAUGGCUAGUGUCGGUAUGGAUGUUAUGCUAUUUCAUACAGCUUCACCUUCGGGUGAUAGACAGGUUAUUUAGCUUCACCGUCGGGGUGAUGGACAUGUACUACCUUCGGCCAACUAUGAUAGCCUUAGUUGAGCACUUCACUGACAAGAUUUACAAAUUUGCCUUCGGGCAACGACAUUUUCAUUAUCAAGCACUGGAUUUUACAUAUCUACCUUCUAAAUGGAUUUUCAUGGCAUGCUAGGGUUUUUCAUAAAGCCUAUAUGUAGUAUUAUAUAUGUUUUCAAAAUAAGGGGUUAUUAUGUUCAUAAAUAAAAUGUUUUCCUAUUAUUAGUAUUAUUAAUAUAAACUUUGGUCCACUCACCUUUUCAGUUUUUGCGCCUCCUCAGGAGUUAGGAUCGAGGCACAUGAUCCCGGCAUCAUGGCAUGUUGAUAUAGGUAUCCUUGAAUCUUCUCAGUGUAGGUAUCAUUCCCUUAUUCAUAUCUUUUUAUAGUGAUUCUUCCCUAUUAUUUCUAAUUAGUUGUAUGCUCUAAACACAUUCCUGCUUUGGUAAUCGUUAUAACUACUUAUCUUGUAAUUGUUUGCAUGUUUAAAAUGGUUUUGUCACCCUUGGGCGUGGGCUAGCACGUGCCUACCCUGGUAUGUUGGGAUAUCGGGGUUGGGGCGUGUCAAAGAUAGAGAGUGAAUUUCUAGCAGAUUCAAUGGUUGUCUACAUUUUAAAAAGAGCUUGCCGAAAAGAUUGAUUCAGAUGAAAUAACAAAGGAUUUCAAUUCCAUUAAGGAUUGAAGGGCACAACUUGAAUAGGUAUUUUUCUUUUUAUUUGUUAGGUUGUUAUGACAAGAUUGACGAUGUAUGUUUCUUUAUAUUGUAAGUUGCAACUUUAAAGGUUUUCUUUGUUAAAUCUAGUUGAAACUUGAUUCAUUUAGAGUUAAAUUUCUUACUUCAAAUUGUUGCUUUUAGGCUUAUUAUUGUGUAACUUUAUGCAAGCAACAAAAAAUUUUAACCAUUUGAUUUUGUACUAAUAAUUUUAGCUUAGCAUGCCACCAAAUAAUUCAUGGCUCCGCUAUUGAAAUCUUAGCAUGUGCAAUUUCAAAGUCUCGGUUGCCAAGUCUCCCCAGGCUGUUCAGCACCCAUUCUGAAUCUUGAUCGAGAUCUAGAGCAGUGCAAGUCAAGGAGUCUUCAUUCUCAUUUGAAACAAUGCUAAAAUUAUACCUCAGCUUGGACUCCUUGGGCAAAAUAUACCCAAAUGUAUUAGUACUACUUGUGGAUACACCACUAGUCCAAAAAAAUCACCUCUCCUUUCUUAAUCUUCAAUUGGUGAGGGUCCCAAUCAAGCGUGAAAGGCCCCGGCGCACGGUUGGCUUUAGUUUCCCAUGAUGAAAUCCACGAAACAUGGCCGUUUGUACGGUUGACACCCAAUUUCAUGCCCGGUAAAAAGGUGUCAACUGGUAAUCAAAGCUUUACGUUCACUUCUUCUUGUACAAAAUUUCCCGAAUCCAAAAGGAUAGCCACAACAGUAGCAAUACUGUUACUUAUGUUGGUAGACCUAGUAGUUUGUGGAGCUGAGAAAAACGCAAUUGGAUUAGGAUCCCCCCCGCAUAAUUUUCAAGGUUUUAUUCCUGUCCAAGGCAAGAGUGCGUACAAAAUAGGGGCUUUACGGUUGCAAAUCCAAGCAAUGUUGCCAUCGGCCUUGUUGCUCUGGAUAGAUACGUAGCUGGUGCUUUUGGAACUGUCGUCGUGUACACAGGAACUGAAACUGAACUUCUCCGAUGCAGAGACCAAAGAAUUUGAGGAGUUGAGAGUGUCUCCUGCUGGUUUCAGUGUGUCCCUUGCAGGUCCACAGUCAGCAUGCAAAAAUGAUUAAGUUGAUUAUUGCCAUGAUUAAUUAAUGACCAUAACAUGAAGUUUAAUUUCUCCAUAUGAUGAGGAAGAAAGACAUGAAAUCCAUCACCAGAACAUGAUUAAGAAUUUAAUCAAGCAACGCGUCUCAGUUAAACCAUUACAAUCUUUGUACAAGGCAUUUAUAAAUUAAAAAAAAAGGGAAUAAAGUAAUAAUUACAAGUUUUACACAAGUGACCAUUUAUUACAAUGGUGGAAAGGUGUUAAGCUUUUGCAUGACGGUGUGAGUUCGAACCUCGUCGGUAGUUAAUCUACGAACCCCGUCGGUAGUUAAUUUAACUUCUAAUCUAAUAAAAUCUAUUUUUUGACCAAAAAAAAAAUAAUUACAAGUUUUACUAAAAAUUUAGGGGUGUGAUAUCCACACACCCCUUUUUACUUCUCUUACACCUUUUUUAUUUUCGACCGUCGGAUAUGAUGAAUUGAAGAAAAUCAACGGACAAAAAUUAACAAGGAAUGUGUGAGAAGUAAAAAGGGGUGUGUGGAUAGCACACCCCAAAAUUUAUCGGAAGACUUGAUCACCCAUUUGUAUGCUGACAACGGUGACUAGAUUCACAACCUCUUUCCCACGUAAAUCACAUCAUCCAAUUUUAUUUUUCUUACAACAUAUCACGUAUCUGUCAUAUGCAAGACUUUUUUUUUUUGUUUAACAUGAAAACGAAGACUUUUUUGGAAUAUGGAGAGUGAAAUUGCAGCGGAAGCAUCCUAGAUUUUUGAUCGAAUAUUGAGUUUGGUUUCAUGCCAGACUUCCUGGAUCAAACACACCCUAAAAAAAUAUAUAAAAAACCAAUAAGGUCAUGUGAUACGACAUCAUUUCAAGAGGAAAGGUACAAACAAUCUAGUUUCUAUACUAGGAAGAUUCACUCGAACAAAUUCUUGGAAACUAUGACUCAAACAAAAUUCUAGGAAUUCAGUAUUUUUAACAAAUGAUAAGCGUUUAAGAUAUAUUCUUUAUAAUAUUAGAGAAAUCGAACGGUUGAUCUAUAACUCGCAAAGUGGUUGUAGCUCAAGUAAUUUUACUCCCCAAUUUUACAUAAAACAUAAAAUAAAAACAAAUCCUAAUUUACAUGGUAAUUUUUUUUCAUAGCUAGGGACAACUUCGACUAUGGUAAUGCAAUUAAUAUACACUAGUUUUGGAUGGAGAAGUUUCAAGAUUGAGUAUGGGAUGGGGAGGGGCGAGAGACUUGGAUGGAGAGGUGAGGUUUUAUGAGUUAAACAGUGAUGCAAGGAUGUAUUACUUAAAACUUUAGAGACCGUAUGUUGGGCUAUAUAUAAUAUACGUUACAUGGAUAAUUGUUUAACUCAUAAACGUUUUGAGUGUUUCUAACAUAUGCUUAUCAAAAGCCUUCUCGUUCCAUCAAACAAUACGAAAAUUUUCAAUUGAAUGAAAGACAUACUAUUUUAUAUAUCACAGUACUUCAUGGAUCAUCAUCAUCACAUAUCCUUAAUUCAAAGGUAAUAAAUGAGCAUCUAGUUUUAUUUUAAUUUUAUUUUAUAUAGGGACUACAGAAGCAAGCACCCUCUGUAAAUUAAACUCUAAAACUUCUCAAGUAUCUUGAAAGGUGCCAAAAGCCAUCAGCCAACUCCAGUUGAUGCAUAACCUCCUACAUUUACAAAAACAGCGUCGCCGUUAAUUUAUUGACUUCUUCCCAGGACACAUACCAAUUUGCGAAAGUGGUUUGACUGAUGCUAUAAUUAGUCGAGUAAAGUACAGUCUUUUCAAUUAAGCAGAUGCAAAACACUUAGUUGAUGCACUACAAAUAUGAUUUUUACCUUUAAUUAACGCGCUUCAAAAUCAGAACUGGACUUGUAGUUUGCUGAAGCAACAGUUUCAAGUUGCUGAUUCCCACUUAUACCAGCCUCCACCGUCCUCCUUCCAACAAAAAAUGCUGGCUUUGUUGGUGAUGCUAAUGGAAAGCUUUCAUUUGUCAACAUAGAUAUGACAUCUGACAUGGUAGGGCGAUCUGCUGCAUUUUCUUCUACGCAAAGCAGACCGACAUGGAUGCAUCUUAACAGUUGCUCUUUAAUAAACGAAUUUCCUAAUGUUGGAUCCGUUAAUUCUAGCCCUGCACCUUUUUUCCAUAACUCCCAUGCCUGAAGAACAAGGAUUGCAUUUCAUUCUAAAGAAGAAAAAUAUGAUUAUAAAUUUUAAGAGAGAGAUUUGUUUGUCAUACAUAUCCUACUAAAUUGAGUGCGCGAUCGUCAUUGUAAAAGCUGUUGUUUUUCCUUCCACUUAUGAUUUCAAGCAUCAAUACCCCGAAACUGUAGACAUCAGACUUUACAGAAAUAAUUCCCCCCACGGACUCUGGAGGCAUGUAACCACUACACCAAAUGAAAAAGAAAAAUAGUCAGUAUACUUAUCUGGAAAAAUGCGUGUUUAGCAGUCAAAAGGGGAGGACCACGUCAAUAUGAUGCAGAAAUACUUACAGUGUCCCCGCAACCUUUCUAGUGUUUGCUUCCAAUUCAUUUUGGGUGAAAAUCCUUGCCAUACCAAAAUCUGAAAUUUUUGGGUUCAUGUUUUCAUCAAGUAGUAUGUUACUAGCUUUUACAUCUCUAUGAAUUACUUUCUUUCUUGAGUAUUUGUGCAGAUAAAGCAACCCUUGAGCAAUUCCUUCGAGAAUGCUAAAACGCUUCUUCCAAUCUAGUAGUAGACCUCUGAUUGGAUCUGUCCAAUAUGUUGAGUUAAGUAGGACUAAUAUUAAUUAAUAGUAGUACUCUAUGAACUUUGACAGUAAAAUAAAAAUCAGAUAGUAAAUUUAACAAAUGAAAUCAAGUAUCUUGGUUCCUCACCAAAUAAAAAGUGGUCCAAACUUUUGUUCUGCAGAUACUCAUAUAUCAACAUCAUUUCUUCACCAUGAAUGCAAAAUCCGAAAAGGUGAACCAGGUUUGUAUGUUGGAGUUCAUAUAUAAGUAUCAGUUCAUUCUUGAAUUCUGAUGUUCCUUGCCCUGAACAUUUCGAAAGCCUCUUCACAGCUAUUUCUUGUCCCGUUGCCAAUUUCCCCUGAAUUGAUAAUCCAUAUCAUGCUUUUGCUGUCAUUUUUAGGCAAUUGAAGCUAAUUCCAUUUUUUUUUUCUUACAGCUUUUGAAUUAGAAGCAGAAAUUUUUGUUUUUUCAAAAUGUUACCUUAUAAACCGGUCCAAACCCUCCUUGUCCUAGCUUGUUUUCUUCAGCAAAGUUUCUUGUGGCAGCCACGAUGGAUGAAUAGCUAAAAACGCUAAAAUCAUGAUGUCGCUUAGAUUCAUGAAGAUAAGCAUUUCGUUCUCAAGCGUUGUCCGGUUCUCACCUAUACAGAUCAAUUAUAAGAAAUUAAAGUUUCAAUGGAGACAACAAUUGUCAAAGAUGUGAUUAAUAAUCCUGUAUUACUGGUGCACAUGAUUUAAAGAAAUAUACCAGCUGAUGCAAGGGCUGAUCUUCUUCGUCGGAGUAGAUAGUACGCGGUGCAAAGCACUAGAGCAGCAGCUAUAGAAAUGCCAAUCCAAACCCAUUUAUCUGCUGCAUCAUAAACAAUUAGCUAGCAACAUAUGCAAUCAGUGUAACACACACGGACAUGUACGCAUUAAUUGUCUUCAAUUUUUGGAUGAACUAGGUCUUGCAGGUUUCUUCCGGAAAACGGAAAAAUUCGAGACAGAGAGCAGAACUUAAGACAACAAUAACAAAGAUAGAGGUACCUAAUAAUACUGAUUCCACGCGUGUCACAGAUUUCCGGCUCAAAUCGGGUUUGCAGCCUCGGUAUAUAUCCUUCGGAUCAAGAAAAGAAAACCCUUUUGGGCAUUCGCAGGUUGGCCUUUUAUCUGGUUUGAGCAUACAGGUACUGUUGUAACCGCAAACACCAACGCCCAGUCGUAGGCAAAUAUCAUCCGGCAUAUACACCAGAGGACUAAUCCAACUUGCAUUUCCCGUGAAGUUUUUCUGGUGAGAAUAUAAAGCGAAAAUCCCAUCAAAAUCAAGAGUUGCCCUUAUGUAGUUGUCCCUCACCGACACUCCCUCUGUCCCCUUAAGAGGGACUCUUCCAUCAUUUUCUCUUAGAACAAACAUGUCCCCUGAGCUGCUGAACACCAAUCGUUUGCCUUGACUACCUGGCACGUUCCCUGACGUGGUCUUCGUGGAGAAGUAAGGGAUGUUGGCAUUAUCUGUUGUGACGGAAAUGAGCACGAGGUUUCCAUCACCUUGCAAGCUCAGCCGGAACCGCCCUUUUGUGUAGUUAGUCUCCGAUUGUCUACACGAAAGCGUCCCGUUUCUCUCAAUUGUCUGUCCAGGCAAAACGGUGUCUGUAGGAUUGCUGAAGGUCUCCCACAAGCUCCCCGAGUUUUGGUGUUGAAGGACGAAGUUUCCGGUGUCAUUCAUGACCCCGUUCGCAACAGUCCCCAAGGUUAUUUCGGAUUUCCAUAUCUCUCCACCCUGAGGAUUGUUAAGAACUAGUCCACUGUUGGCAGUCAAGUUCAGAACUGAUCCCCUAGGUGCAACCAUGGGGUUGUUACCGUCAUAUGCAUACCAAAACUACGGUUUUGUCUGGGAUUUUCGCAUACCAUAUCGAAAGCAAGAAACGAUCAUUGUUUCCGAGGGGCGAAAAUCCAAACGCGAAAUCACCGGAAGGAGAAAGCCAUGAUGAGGAGUCGCCUGUAGUUGCAGUUAGAGAACUCCCAACUGCUACUCUUCCAUUAUUUUGGGAAAUCACAGAAAUUGGUAGCAAAAACAAAGAGGAGAACAAAAGCAUCUCUACAGAAAGAGCCACUGCCAUUGCAAAAGCACCAAUUUUUCAACUUGGCUUGAUUGAUUAGCUAUAUUUCUUAGUAAAGCAUUGGUCCUUGUUAUAUCUUUAAGUAAAUGCGUGUGCACCAUGUGCCUGUCAUUUUCUAAGUUUUUGCCUGGAAUUAAAGGCGUCUACACCAUUUUUUGAAGUCACACACAACAAUAUCUCCGGGCCUACAGAAUAAAUUCUCCGAACCUACACAUAUCACAAGAAUUUCACUUUGAAAAAAAAAAUAUAAUGAAUAGUUCUAUAUAUAAUGACACCGAGACUUUUUGUGAUUGAAUUUAUUCUCUCUCAACUCCUUUGUAAUGUUGCAAGUUGGAGCAAUAUUGACGUAAUUAGCAAUGGUCCGCUGACUUGUCUCUCUCAAAUCUCUUAUCAUCCUACUCUCAUCCCUCGUCUGUUUUAUGAUUCUACUUACUUAAGCACUUAUAAAUGUUCCAAAUCAGCAAAGGACUUGUAACUUAAAUAAUUAAUAAUAUUUAUCACUACACUCGAGAUUCUAGGUUCCAAAAUAUAAUAUAUAAUAUAUAUGAAUGUUUCCGAACCAAAAGGACAAGUAAAUACGAGCAUGACUCACGCUGCAUGGGUCGGCCAUUCAAGUCCACCAGUCAAAAUUCAACAAUGGGGCCCACAAAGAAAAUUUGAAAAAGUACAUGCAGAUUGGGGACGGAUACAAAGAAAAUCUGAAAACAGACCUCCAGAACCAAACAAAGACGACUAAGCCUUUAAGUCAAGUGACAAGAGACUUAUAUCUUCACAAAAACAAAGACGACUAAGUCUCAAUUUCUGUAUUCACAAAAAAAAAAGUACUAACUGAAGUUUUUAAUGUAUGAUUACGUCGUUGGGGUAAAACACCCGAUGCCGAGUUGAGAUAAUCACAGGGUUGGGGAAUCAAGAACCUCUUCGAAUGUCACAAUCUAGCGCAAACGGAUGUAGAGACUCAAACCACUUAUUUUAAAUCAUACGGCCUUCAUUAGCCUAUCCUAUUGACCCACAUGGUCCAAAUCUGUCUCUCCCCUCUCUUGAACGGUUUGGAUAUCUCGAUUUGUCGAUUUUGGAUUGCGAGAUUCAAAGAGAAUCUGAUUUCAUGUUUGAGGUGAGGUUUGACGACCAUUUGAAGCCCGUUGAGGCGUGGCCCAUCUCAUCAGGUCGGGUCAGCCAUUUCGUACCAGGUUGGAUCCCAGGUCAGGCCAACCAUUUCAUUAGCCUAAGAUGGACCUGACAGACGAGGCGCUUGGAUAUUGCCUACCGCGACCAAAUGGACCCAUGGACUCAUUAGAUGAUGAGUCUGGACCCUGGUGUGUGUAAAGCCCACCUCAGCUCGAUCCAUAUUCGAUCGAUACUACAAAGAAGGUGGAUAUGAGGUAAAGGUAGAGUAAGCUCCAAGUCAUGUGGAGGUCAGUCGAGAUUGAACACACGUUCAUAGAAUCAUAGUAUCAAAUUCAAGUCCAAAUUUUAACACUACGAAACCGAAAAGCAUUGUUUCAGUCCAACAACCCAAACUUCCUUAAAAAAACUAAGACAAAAACGACGACACUAGGAAACGGAAAAACAUGCAACUCAGAAAACCAUUACUCUAGUCCAAAUGAGGUUCCUCAAUGCCUCAAGCUUUUAUAAAACACCAUAGCCUGAACCUUUUCCUUUGCGCCUUCUUUGCUUCACCAGAAACGUUCUUAAUGAGCUCCUCUUCAAAUUUGGGACGAGCAGGCAUUAGGCUGUGCACAAUGCUGUAAACGCCCCUAGCCCUUGCCACACCCUAGGUGCGUACGCGUGCAUGUCCG